rnacentral:rRNA from 1 species
GACGAACGCUGGCGGCGUGCCUAAUACAUGCAAGUAGAACGCUGAAGAGAGGAGCUUACUCUUCUUGGAUGAGUUGCGAACGGGUGAGUAACGCGUAGGUAACCUGCCUUGUAGCGGGGGAUAACUAUUGGAAACGAUAGCUAAUACCGCAUAACAAUGGAUGACACAUGUCAUUUAUUUGAAAGGGGCAAUUGCUCCACUACAAGAUGGACCUGCGUUGUAUUAGCUAGUAGGUGAGGUAAUGGCUCACCUAGGCGACGAUACAUAGCCGACCUGAGAGGGUGAGCGGCCAACCUGGGACUGAGACACGGCCCAGACUCCUACGGGAGGCAGCAGGAGGGAAGCUUCGGAAAUGGGGGCAACCCUGACCGAGCAACGCCGCGUGAGUGAAGAAGGUUUUCGGAUCGUAAAGCUCUGUUGUAAGUCAAGAACGGGUGUGAGAGUGGAAAGUUCACACUGUGACGGUAGCUUACCAGAAAGGGACGGCUAACUACGUG